CUUACUCGAUACUCACUUGGCUUUCAUACAGUUUCAGACCCUGCUAGAUAUUAACGUCUAAGAAGAUUGUUUCAUCCGUUUCUUCAGACCUGCACUGGAACAUCUCAAGGAAGACUAAAAUAUGAAACUGAAAAUCUGGUACAUACACCUGAUUCCAUGCCUCUUCUUAAUAAUGAUGUCUGAAGACGUUGUGUCGAAAUCUGUUGGCAUUUGUAUAAUAAACUGUGGGCAGUGUAAAAACAUGUACGGAGGGUAUUUCAUGGGUCAACUGUGCGCUGAAGAAUGUGUUAUUUCCCGCGGACUGCGACUUCCAGACUGCAAUGAUCCUAACUCGAUAGGACGAUAUCUUCAUC